rfam:Croceibacter atlanticus HTCC2559, complete genome.
CGAGGUGGCUGUGGCGGCGGGGCGCACCCCUUCCCAUCCCGAACAGGACGGUUAAGCCCGCCAGCGCCGAUGGUACUGCUAUCCAGUGGGAGAGUAGGUCGCCGCCUUUC